rnacentral:misc_RNA from 1 species
GAUGAAGAACGCAGCGAAACGCGAUACGUAAUGUGAAUUGCAGAAUUCAGUGAAUCAUCGAAUCUUUGAACGCACCUUGCGCCCCUCGGCAUUCCGAGGGGCAUGCCUGUCCGAGCGUCAUUGCUGCCCUCAAGCACGGCUUGUGUGUUGGGCCUCCGCCCCCCGGCUCCCGGGGGGCGGGCCCGAAAGGCAGCGGCGGCACCGCGUCCGGUCCUCGAGCGUAUGGGGCUUCGUCACCCGCUCCGUAGGCCCGGCCGGCGCCCGCCGGCGACCCCCCUCAAUCUUUCCAGGUUGACCUCGGAUCAGGUAGGGAUACCCGCUGAACUUAAGCAUAUCAAUAAGCGGAGGA